GAUGAACGCUAGCUACAGGCUUAACACAUGCAAGUCGAGGGGAAACGACAUCGAAAGCUUGCUUUUGAUGGGCGUCGACCGGCGCACGGGUGAGUAACGCGUAUCCAACCUGCCCAUCACUUGGGGAUAACCUUGCGAAAGUAAGACUAAUACCCAAUGAUAUCUCUAGAAGACAUCUGAAAGAGAUUGAAGAUUUAUCGGUGAUGGAUGGGGAUGCGUCUGAUUAGCUUGUUGGCGGGGUAACGGCCCACCAAGGCAACGAUCAGUAGGGGUUCUGAGAGGAAGGUCCCCCACAUUGGAACUGAGACACGGUCCAAACUCCUACGGGAGGCAGCAGUGAGGAAUAUUGGUCAAUGGGCGAGAGCCUGAACCAGCCAAGUAGCGUGCAGGAAGACGGCCCUAUGGGUUGUAAACUGCUUUUAUAAGGGAAUAAAGUGAGAGUCGUGACUCUUUUUGUAUGUACCUUAUGAAUAAGGACCGGCUAAUUCCGUG
rnacentral:rRNA from 1 species